rnacentral:rRNA from 1 species
UACGUAGGGCGCAAGCGUUGUCCGGAAUUAUUGGGCGUAAAGAGCUCGUAGGCGGCUUGUCACGUCGGGUGUGAAAGCCCGGGGCUUAACCCCGGGUCUGCAUUCGAUACGGGCAGGCUAGAGUGUGGUAGGGGAGAUCGGAAUUCCUGGUGUAGCGGUGAAAUGCGCAGAUAUCAGGAGGAACACCGGUGGCGAAGGCGGGUCUCUGGGCCGAUACUGACGCUGAGGCACGAAAGCGUGGGGAUCAAACAGG